rnacentral:rRNA from 1 species
AUGGAUGCGGGAGGCCAAGUCGCCAGAUCCAUGCUGGCCGAUCGAAAGGGUCCCCGGAGGACGGCUGUCGGCCGGAGCUUCGCCAUCUACCUCCAACAGCCAUCCGGCACCCCAUUUCUACUGGCGUGUCGUGCCCCUUCCCAAUCAACGUCGCCGACAGCCUUACGGAUGCCGACAUCGCCGGGCUUCCUCAGCUCCCUCCCUGCCCCCUUGCCGGACCUCCCCGGCUCCCAGCUGCCCGUACACAGCACCAGCACGGUCCCCGUGGCCUUGUUGACACCUCCCCGAGUAGGUGACCCACACGCACACCACUCUCGGCUGCACCAGGUGCUUGUGGUAUUGCCUCAAAGAAUGUAG